AACGUAGGGGGCGAGCGUUGUCCGGAAUUACUGGGCGUAAAGGGCGUGUAGGCGGCUCGCGAAGUCAGGAGUGAAAGCCUGGGGCUUAACCCCAGGACUGCUUUUGAAACCAGCGGGCUUGAGUGCAGGAGAGGGAAGUGGAAUUCCCAGUGUAGCGGUGAAAUGCGUAGAUAUUGGGAGGAACACCAGUGGCGAAAGCGGCUUCCUGGCCUGUAACUGACGCUGAGGCGCGAAAGCGUGGGGAGCAAACAGG
rnacentral:rRNA from 1 species